CAAACGCUCGAGGAAUCUCUUGUCAGUGAUCUGGAUCCCUCGCGCGAGGAGUAAAAACUAGAAUGUUCUAGAAACUUUUACCUCAGACACAAGAAGCAACUGACAAUAAAACACCUAUUUAACGUUACAGUAAACGCUAACAUACGAAGAAAGAAUGGAAGAAUCUUUGUCUGUCCAUGAAGUCUUUACAAGUUAUGUGACCCUUCUCCUGGAAUUGUUACGUCCGAGACUUGUGAUGCUAUUUUUGCGGGAGAGAAUCGGAGUAGGUGCAGUAGGUGCAGUGGGUGAGGUUUCAUUGGGGCAGCCAUGUUGGCGAAGGAUAUCCACACACUCUUGGCUCCCAGCCUGUUGUGCUAGCGUUAAAGCUGUUUGGCCUUGAGGAUUCUUUGCUUUCACGUCACUACCAUACUACAGAGAGAAAAAGACAAAAA